UACGUAGGGGGCUAGCGUUGUCCGGAAUCAUUGGGCGUAAAGCGCGUGUAGGCGGUCCGGUAAGUCCGCUGUGAAAGUCGGGGGCUCAACCCUCGAAUGCCGGUGGAUACUGUCGGGCUAGAGUGCGGAAGAGGCGAGUGGAAUUCCUGGUGUAGCGGUGAAAUGCGCAGAUAUCAGGAGGAACACCUAUUGCGAAGGCAGCUCGCUGGGACGUAACUGACGCUGAGGCACGAAAGCGUGGGGAGCAAACAGG
rnacentral:rRNA from 1 species